rnacentral:lncRNA from 1 species
GGAUAGCUGUGGCUCAGUUGGGGUCAGCUCCAGAAUGUAGGUCAGAAUUAGCUCAUGCCACAUGCCCCUCCUUCUAGAUCAAGCUGCAGAGGAAACAGCCACCUGGGGCGUGUUCUUACGUUGCCUGGAAGCUGCACAAGAGGCCAAGUCAAAACAUGCAGAAUUCCAGUUGCCCAUGAUGUCACAGGCUGAGGCCCACACUCCAGAGACACUGUGGACUGACUGGCACCUAUGAGCUGACCUAAUAACAGUUACACCAUUACAGCUCCGAUUCUACAGAACAAUACAUAUCCAGUUCUUAUCUAUGCUUUGCAUGUGCUCUUUGAAACACAACCCUUCCCUAAACAGAAUUCUCUACCUGUUACCAUAUCUAGAGUGUAGGGCUCAGGGAAGACAGUAAAGGACACAGACUCUGAGAAAUGAACAUGAACUAGGGCUUAGAUGAAUAAAUGGAGCUACAACAAUAGUUAUAUUUUAGUGCAACUUCUGAAAAUUAAACUAAAGGAUCCACGGGUGUGGAAGACACAAUACCAGGGUGUGAGUCAGGGGAUGAGUGCUCAAGAAUGUUCUGUGUUUCCCAAAUCCACUAUAUGAAUGGCACGACCACUUUCCCAGGCAACUCAGUCUAAAACACUAGUUAGUUCUAACUUCUCACCUCCACGCAGUCACUUCCUAAUCCCACCUCUACGGCCUCUUUUAUUAUGCCUCUCUUUUCCCCUCGCCUUCCCCUUGUCAAGCUUUCCUCCCUGCCACACUCUAGUUCCUCCUCAGCACCUCCAAGCCAGCUGAUUGCAACAGGCUCCUAACAGAGCUUCUGACCUCCAGAAUGAGCAACACAAGCCAAA